rnacentral:rRNA from 1 species
AUGGCCGAAAGGCUGACGCAGCGACGCCGCGUGUGGGAGGACGCCCUUCGGGGUGUAAACCACUGUUGCCCGGGACGAACAUCCCCUUUCGAGGGGACUGACGGUACCGGGUGAGGAAGCACCGGCUAACUCCGUGCCAGCAGCCGCGGUAAUACGGAGGGUGCGAGCGUUGUCCGGAAUCACUGGGCGUAAAGGGCGCGUAGGUGGCGCGGGAAGUCUUCGGUGAAAGCUCAGGGCUCAACUCUGAGUCGGCCGGCGAUACUCUCGUGCUCGAGUGUGGUAGAGGCCAAUGGAAUUCCGGGUGUAGCGGUGGAAUGCGUAGAGAUCCGGAAGAACACCGGUGGCGAAGGCGGUUGGCUGGGCCACAACUGACACUGAUGCGCGACAGCGUGGGGAGCAAACAGGAUUAGAUACCCUGGUAGUCCACGCCGUAAACGAUGGGCACUAGGUGCUUGGGGGAGCGACCCCCUGAGUGCCGGCGCUAACGCAUUAAGUGCCCCGCCUGGGGAGUACG